GAAAUGCGAUAAGUAGUGUGAAUUGCAGAAUUCAGUGAAUCAUCGGAUCUUUGAACGCACAUUGCGCCCCUUGGUAUUCCAUGGGGCAUGCCUGUUCGAGCGUCAUUUGUACCCUCAAGCUCUGCUUGGUGUUGGGUGUUUGUCCCGUCUCCGCGCGUGGACUCGCCCCAAAGUGAUUGGCAGCCGGCGUACUGGUCCCGGAGCGCAGCACAUGUCGCGCAAACGAGUGCCUUGGUACGGCGGCGUCCAUAAGCCCCUCUCUCACGCUCUUGACCUCGGAUCAGGUAGGGAUACCCGCUGAACUUAAGC
rnacentral:misc_RNA from 1 species